CCUACGGGAGGCAGCAGUGAGGAAUAUUGGUCAAUGGACGUAAGCCUGAACCAGCCAAGUCGCGUGAGGGAUGAAUGUUCUAUGGAUCGUAAACCUCUUUUAUAUGGGAAUAAAGUGCGGGACGUGUCGGGUUUUGUAUGUACCUUAUGAAUAAGGAUCGGCUAACUCCGUGCCAGCAGCCGCGGUAAUACGGAGGAUCCGAGCGUUAUCCGGAUUUAUUGGGUUUAAAGGGUGCGUAGGUGGGUUUUUAAGUCAGUGGUGAAAGUCUGUGGCUCAACCGUAGAAUUGCCGUUGAUACUGGGAGCCUUGAGUAUGUUUGAGGUAGGCGGAAUGCGUGGUGUAGCGGUGAAAUGCUUAGAUAUCACGAAGAACUCCGAUUGCGAAGGCAGCCUACCAAGC
rnacentral:rRNA from 1 species